UCUGGGCACUUUUUCUCCCUGAAGACGGCCGCUGGCCUAGGUACUGAGGAGGAGAACGCCCCUAGCUCCACUUGUCCCUAAACGCGCUUCGCGCCGGUGUCAACGCACGUCAAGGUAAGUUCUUGCAUUCCUUGUUCUGCGAUGUUUUCUACGCGCGACGAUGAAAUUUCUCCACGCAGUACGUGUCUCUACUUAGAACUAUUUUCAGCGUGACAGUUUUUGUAUUUUCUUGUAGCCUGGGAACACCGUUCAAUUUGUGCGACAGAAACUUAUGCAGCUUCCGUCUCACGCUAUUGUAUAGAAACGGUUGAAUACCGCUUGUAGUUACUUUCUUGCCCUAGAGUUGAACUAGUAAAAGGUGCCCAUGCUGCGAGUGCAGUCGUAAAACUUUGGCGUUGGAUCCGAGCCCAUGGAGAAAGUUGGAGCUGUAGAGCUGUAUUGUCAACGAUGUCCACACACCGG
rnacentral:lncRNA from 1 species